rnacentral:rRNA from 1 species
UACGUAGGGGGCUAGCGUUGUCCGGAAUCAUUGGGCGUAAAGCGCGUGUAGGCGGUCCGGUAAGUCCGCUGUGAAAGUCGGGGGCUCAACCCUCGAAUGCCGGUGGAUACUGUCGGGCUAGAGUGCGGAAGAGGCGAGUGGAAUUCCUGGUGUAGCGGUGAAAUGCGCAAAUAUCAGGAGGAACACCAAUUGCGAAGGCAGCUCGCUGGGACGUUACUGACGCUGAGACGCGAAAGCGUGGGGAGCAAACAGG